UGCUCAUUCCAGCAACCAAGAGUAUUAUUCGUGAAUCCGAAAAAGAGUACGCCAUUUUUCGAUACUGCUUUAGCGGAUAAUUGACUGCUGAAAACGUCUUGGACACUGAAAUUGGUAAAAAAUGUGAAAUUAAAUAAAAAUAACAUUUACAAAAUUUAUUUUUAUAUUUACCUUUCAUACUGUACGUCAUUUCCUUGAUUUUGCGAGUUCAUUAACGAUGUUGUGUUAACGUAAUAUAAAUUCUGAGAAGAGAGAGGACUAUAAUAAAGAUUAUGCGUCACGGAACUAAGUGCCAUUCCAAAAACUCUGUUGUCUACUUCUUUCAAGGUGAGAUUUUCUUGCGACAUUUUGUCAGAUCUAAAGUUGUGAUUGGAAAUGUGGGAAGACAAUCGAUGGAAAGAAUCAUCGGCAUUUUGGUAGACAAUUAAAGCAUCAUCUUUGUUAUCUGCCAUGUACACCUAUUAUAUCAUUAUUAUAUUAUAAUAAUUUAUUAUAAUGAAUUAUAAUAAUGUAUUAAUGAUUUUAACUUUUUUUUAAUUUUGUAAUUUUCAGUAAGUGUUUCUUAUAAAUCUUAAUGUGCUAAAUGCGAAUCUGUAAACUAUUUUCUCCGAAUACAGUUUCUAAAGAAAAAUUGGAAUUUUUUAAUUCUAGAAAUAUUUUAUACUUAGUAGAAUAAUAGUUAUUCAAUUGUUCUUGAUAGAAAACGAUAAUUCUCUCGAAUAAAAUGAUAUAAGUAUUUAUAAAUAUAAAUUAUAAUUAUAAAUAUUUAAAACGUUAAUGAUGCAAAUUAAAAAAACAUCGAAAAUAUAUUCAUUUUUGUUAAUAUUUUCCAAUUUAUUUCAAAAAUUAAUGAUUUACGAGAAAAUCUAAUAAUAAUAACGUGAUAGAUUUUUCUGUUAAUGAAAAACAUCAAAGAAAGCUACAAAAUUAUUCUUUUUUUUUACAAAUAAUAUAUAAUAUUAUAAAUUUCAAUUCUUUGAUCUAAGUUCAAGAAUUAUCUUGCUAUUUUUAAAAUUAUAAAUUUUAUUUACAGUUUUAUUUGCAUAUAUAUACCAUACUGCAACAUUAUUAUCUCAAAUUUAAAACCAUAUAAAGAAUUCUUAUUAUAUAAGAAAUAAUACGAAAUACAAAGGAAAAAUAAUUUAAAAUAUUUCCAAGAAAAUGAAAACUUUUAAUUACUUUUAUAAUUUAAACUCACCAUAGUAUUUACAGAAUCCAUAGCUUGAACAGCUAAAGAUGCUAAUCCGCCCUUUCCUGUGGUGGCAUUUACGGCAACAUCGUGCGGUAUCUCGACUUGCUUGAGCAAUUUCGAAGUAGUCAAAUCAAAGGCAAGCAAUUUUGGAGAACACAUAGGUUGAAUAUUAUUGACAAGACCCGAGUCCAGAACCCACAAUCUCUCAUAUUCGUCGAUCUAAAUAUUAUAUAAUACAAUACAAUACGGGUUUCUUUCCUCUCGAAAGAAAAAUUAAUUCUAAAAAAAUAAUCAUACAGCAAUUUUGUUGGCGCUCACGAUUCCAGAGCAAUCUUCAUACUUAGCAAAUGACCAAUCGGGAUAAGGUUGUAGAAGCGGUCCACCGUUGCCAGUUUUGUCAGAUACCACGUUCAAAGAGGAAGGCACACCAUCGUAUCUUAACAUAGUGACAAAAGUCUUAUCUUGAACGAAAAAUGCAAAACAUAAAAUACUCUUAAUAUAAAAUUUAUAACUUUAUUAAAAAUAUUAUAAAAUUGGAAAUUAAUUUAUUAAAUUGUUUGAUAUAGCAGUAUUAAUUUAAAAUAUUUUACCAUGCCAUUGAUCGACGUCAAGAGGAUAAUUUUUCGUACGAUCAUAUUCGCCAGAUUGAAUCGCAGCUUGCCUUUUUUCGUCGCUACCGAAAUCAUAAUCGACAUACUUCCAUUCGUGAAUCACGUUCAACGUAUUUGUUAAUUUUUUUCUUGAGGAAUUUUCUCGAACAACGGCACCUUUAAUAUUUUGACAAGCUAUGCCAAGGCAUGCCAUCAACAACAACCACUUUGUCAUUUUUCCCUAGAAAAU